rnacentral:rRNA from 1 species
AACGAACGCUGGCGGCAGGCUCCAUACAUGCAAGUCGAACGGCCCGCAAGGGCAGUGGCGCACGGGUGCGUAACACGUGGGAAUAUGCCCUUCAGUACGGAACAACGUCGGGAAACUGACGCUAAUACCGUAUAAUGUCUCCGGACCAAAGAUUUAUCGCUGAAGGAUUAGCCCGCGUCUGAUUAGGUAGUUGGGGAGGUAAUGGCUCACCAAGCCGACGAUCAGUAGCUGGUCUGAGAGGAUGAUCAGCCACACUGGGACGGAGACACGGCCCAGACGCCUACGGGAGGCAGCAGUAAGGAAUAUUGGACAAUGGGGGAAACCCUGAUCCAGCCAUGCCGCGUGAGUGAAGAAGGCCUUCGGGUUGUAAAGCUCUUUUACCCCUGACGAUAAUGACGGUAAGGGGAGAAAAAGCCACGGCUAACUUCGUGCCAGCCGCCGCGGUAA